CGAUAGUGAACCAGUACCGUGAGGGAAAGGUGAAAAGCACCCCGGAAGGGGAGUGAAAGAGAUCCUGAAACCGUGUGCCUACAAAUAGUCAGAGCCCGUUAACGGGUGAUGGCGUGCCUUUUGUAGAAUGAACCGGCGAGUUACGAUCCCGUGCGAGGUUAAGCUGAAGAGGCGGAGCCGCAGCGAAAGCGAGUCUGAAUAGGGCGUUUAGUACGUGGUCGUAGACCCGAAACCAGGUGAUCUACCCAUGUCCAGGGUGAAGUUCAGGUAACACUGAAUGGAGGCCCGAACCCACGCACGUUGAAAAGUGCGGGGAUGAGGUGUGGGUAGCGGAGAAAUUCCAAUCGAACCUGGAGAUAGCUGGUUCUCCCCGAAAUAGCUUUAGGGCUAGCCUUAAGUGUAAGAGUCUUGGAGGUAGAGCACUGAUUGGACUAGGGGUCCUCAUCGGAUUACCGAAUUCAGUCAAACUCCGAAUGCCAAUGACUUAUCCUUAGGAGUCAGACUGCGAGUGAUAAGAUCCGUAGUCAAAAGGGAAACAGCCCAGACCGCCAGCUAAGGUCCCAAAGUGUGUAUUAAGUGGAAAAGGAUGUGGAGUUGCUUAGACAACUAGGAUGUUGGCUUAGAAGCAGCCACCAUUUAAAGAGUGCGUAAUAGCUCACUAGUCGAGUGACUCUGCGCCGAAAAUGUACCGGGGCUAAAUACACCACCGAAGCUGCGGAUUGAUACCAAUGGUAUCAGUGGUAGGGGAGCGUUCUAAGGACAGUGAAGUCAGACCGGAAGGACUGGUGGAGUGCUUAGAAGUGAGAAUGCCGGUAUGAGUAGCGAAAGACGGGUGAGAAUCCCGUCCACCGAAUGCCUAAGGUUUCCUGAGGAAGGCUCGUCCGCUCAGGGUUAGUCAGGACCUAAGCCGAGGCCGACAGGCGUAGGCGAUGGACAACAGGUUGAUAUUCCUGUACCACCUCUUUAUCGUUUGAGCAAUGGAGGGACGCAGAAGGAUAGAAGAAGCGUGCGAUUGGUUGUGCACGUCCAAGCAGUUAGGCUGAUAAGUAGGCAAAUCCGCUUAUCGUGAAGGCUGAGCUGUGAUGGGGAAGCUCCUUAUGGAGCGAAGUCUUUGAUUCCCCGCUGCCAAGAAAAGCUUCUAGCGAGAUAAAAGGUGCCUGUACCGCAAACCGACACAGGUAGGCGAGGAGAGAAUCCUAAGGUGUGCGAGAGAACUCUGGUUAAGGAACUCGGCAAAAUGACCCCGUAACUUCGGGAGAAGGGGUGCUUUCUUAACGGAAAGCCGCAGUGAAUAGGCCCAAGCGACUGUUUAGCAAAAACACAGCUCUCUGCGAAGCCGUAAGGCGAAGUAUAGGGGGUGACACCUGCCCGGUGCUGGAAGGUUAAGGAGAGGGGUUAGCGUAAGCGAAGCUCUGAACUGAAGCCCCAGUAAACGGCGGCCGUAACUAUAACGGUCCUAAGGUAGCGAAAUUCCUUGUCGGGUAAGUUCCGACCCGCACGAAAGGUGUAACGAUUUGGGCACUGUCUCAACCAGAGACUCGGUGAAAUUAUAGUACCUGUGAAGAUGCAGGUUACCCGCGACAGGACGGAAAGACCCCGUGGAGCUUUACUGUAGCCUGAUAUUGAAUUUUGGUACAGUUUGUACAGGAUAGGCGGGAGCCUUUGAAACCGGAGCGCUAGCUUCGGUGGAGGCGCUGGUGGGAUACCGCCCUGACUGUAUUGAAAUUCUAACCUACGGGUCUUAUCGACCCGGGAGACAGUGUCAGGUGGGCAGUUUGACUGGGGCGGUCGCCUCCUAAAGUGUAACGGAGGCGCCCAAAGGUUCCCUCAGAAUGGUUGGAAAUCAUUCGUAGAGUGCAAAGGCAUAAGGGAGCUUGACUGCGAGACCUACAAGUCGAGCAGGGACGAAAGUCGGGCUUAGUGAUCCGGUGGUUCCGCAUGGAAGGGCCAUCGCUCAACGGAUAAAAGCUACCCCGGGGAUAACAGGCUUAUCUCCCCCAAGAGUCCACAUCGACGGGGAGGUUUGGCACCUCGAUGUCGGCUCAUCGCAUCCUGGGGCUGUAGUCGGUCCCAAGGGUUGGGCUGUUCGCCCAUUAAAGCGGUACGCGAGCUGGGUUCAGAACGUCGUGAGACAGUUCGGUCCCUAUCCGUCGUGGGCGUAGGAAAUUUGAGAGGAGCUGUCCUUAGUACGAGAGGACCGGGAUGGACGCACCGCUGGUGUACCAGUUGUUCUGCCAAGGGCAUAGCUGGGUAGCUAUGUGCGGAAGGGAUAAGUGCUGAAAGCAUCUAAGCAUGAAGCCCCCCUCAAGAUGAGAUUUCCCAUAGCGUAAGCUAGUAAGAUCCCUGAAAGAUGAUCAGGUUGAUAGGUUCGAGGUGGAAGCAUGGUGACAUGUGGAGCUGACGAAUACUAAUAGAUCGAGGACUUAACCAUAUAA
rnacentral:rRNA from 1 species